UACAGAGGGUGCAAGCGUUGUUCGGAAUUAUUGGGCGUAAAGGGCGUGUAGGCGGUUUGCUAAGUCAUGUGUGAAAUCCCCCCGGCUUAACCGAGGAACGACGCAUGAUACUGGCAAGCUAGAGUACCAAAGAGGGGGGUGGAAUUCCCGGUGUAGCGGUGAAAUGCGUAGAGUAUCUGGAGGAACACCGGUGGCGAAGGCGACAUCCU
rnacentral:rRNA from 1 species